rnacentral:rRNA from 1 species
UACGUAGGCAGCGAGCGUUGUUCGGAAUUACUGGGCGUAAAGAGUGUGUAGGCGGUGCUCCCAGUCUGUUGUGAAAUCUCCCGGCUUAACUGGGAGGGUGCAGCGGAAACUAGAGUGCUAGAGGGUGGGAGAGGUAAGCGGAAUUCCUGGUGUAGCGGUGAAAUGCGUAGAUAUCAGGAGGAACACCGAUGGCGAAGGCAGGUCUCUGGGCUGACACUGACGCUCAUGCACGAAAGCGUGGGGAGCAAACAGG